rnacentral:rRNA from 1 species
CCUACGGGAGGCAGCAGUGAGGAAUAUUGGUCAAUGGACGAGAGUCUGAACCAGCCAAGUAGCGUGAAGGAUGACUGCUCUAUGGGUUGUAAACUUCUUUUAUAAAGGAAUAAAACGAGGCACGUGUGCCUUUUUGCAUGUACUUUAUGAAUAAGGAUCGGCUAACUCCGUGCCAGCAGCCGCGGUAAUACGGAGGAUCCGAGCGUUAUCCGGGUUGAUUGGGUUUAAAGGGAGCGUAGAUGGGUUGUUAAGUCAGUUGUGAAAGUUUGCGGCUCAACCGUAAAAUUGCAAUUGAUACUGGCAGUCUUGAGUACAGUUGAGGUAGGCGGAAUUCGUGGUGUAGCGGUGAAAUGCUUAGAUAUCACGAAGAACCCCGAUUGCGAAGGCAGCUUACUAGACUGUAACUGACAUUGAUGCUCGAAAGUGUGGGUAUCAAACAGGAUUAGAUACCCUAGUAGUC